AGCGCUUAGAACAGUGCUCGGCACAUAGUAAGCGCUUAACAAAUACCAACAUUAUUAUUAUUACUGUGGUCACUGGACACCACCGAGGCCAUGGGUGAACUCUUUUAGGGGAAGAAUGCUUUAUAUCACUGCUCACUCAUGUGAAAUGAUGGGGCCAGUUGGAGCUGAGUGCUGAUACAGGUUAAUUCUCCUGAGACUGAGGAAAUCAGACAACUUCAGCAUAGAUGUUUGUCUAUUAACAGAGAAGGUAAGUAGCUUUUUAGGUAAUAGUGAACCCAGUGGGUCAGUAAUAAAGAACUUUCAUUUCAUUCACUGUGCUAUCUGGGUAAUUCAAGCUAUGUAGUUGGGUGGGGUAGGAAUGAGGUGGAAUGGGGUGGGUCGGGCAGUAGGUUGUAAAACACUUCGAGGGUUGAUAAAGUUUUUGGAAAUGAUUGGAAAAGCAAUAGUUCAGUCUGCUGGGCUAAUCAUGGGCUGGGGAGUUGGGAACAUUGAAUUCCAGUCUCUAAGUUCACCACCCUCUUGGCUGUCCCCAAGCUUCUUGAGCUCUCUGUUACCUUGGAUACCAGUCAUUGCUCUCGUCCUCCACCCCCUCCCUUCCCUGUUUCCAGGAACCUGUCCUCUCCUGAUCCUUCGCUUCCUUUGACGGUCCAAAAGUACAUCUGACAACGCUGCUGGGGGUGUUGACGGCGAACACUGCAGGAAAUCAGGCAACACUGAAGAAGAAUUUGGACAAAAGAUCCAUUUGAAAGGCCUGGAGGAGAUGUUGGAAAUCAUAUCCAUUAGGAUGUCACGGAAGAUUAUGUUCUCCAAGCAUCCUGGUUGCGGCUGCUGGGAAUACUGAGCUGGCUGAACCAAGUAAUGGUAUUUCUUCUAUUUUUAUAUAAUUUUUAUAUUUCUACUAAAUGGGAGGACCCUAUCAACUGUGACCAUCCAAGGUGACCUUUCAAAAAAGUAGCGUGGGUUUUUGAAGUACAAGGGCAGAUCUCCUGGGAAUUAAAACCCCAAGCCUGUUGAUCCCAACGACCCUGCAAAAGUUCUCAUUCUCUACGUUAAGCAGAAGACACACAGACAAUUUAGACAGCCCCAGACACUAUUCACUGAAUGUUUGGAGCAUCUUAAAUUUUUAAGUCCAAAUACACAACAGCAUGCCCUAAGUAUAGAAGAGCAAAGGUAGACACUAAACUCUUUAUAGCUUAAAAAAAUAAGACCAUAAGAACAUCAGUCCCAUAUUCUGACAUAAUGGCCUCUGAAUUUUCAAAAAAAGAAAAUUUAGUUCUGCCAAGUUUUUUGGAUCAAAAUGUGCUUUAGAGCACUGCACUUAUUACACUACCACCACGAUGCUGUUCGAAUGUUUGUUCCACCUACCACCGUUUGUUGUUCCUCAGGAACUUUAGCCGCCUUUUUACAGUCUUUGCCUUUCUUUCCUUUGGGUUUAGGAACACUAAGAAGUGAAUGGAAGAAGUCAGUGUACUUUAGCAACAUGUCCUCCUAUGUCUAAAUUGCCAAUGAAUUCUAAUCAUAUCAUAAUCACACACAUGAUCAUAAUCAUCAUAAUCAUAAAGGGUGAAGAGAAGUCAGGGCUCUUUUCAAUAUAACAAAUUCCUCUAAUCUGCUCACCCAUUCUAGUUUUUGUUUACCAUUCUCACAUCAAAAAGCACCCUACCUUACUAAGAAUUAUUCUAAGAAUUCAAUGAUGACGUUUGAGGCUCUAGACAAAGCAACUGAGGUAGGGAUUGAGGCAUAAUUUUUAGAACAUGACUCAUGGACAGAAUUGCAAUUAGUUUGAAGGGGCAGUUAUCUUAAAACAGAGAAAGAUGGCCCUGAUCACAGCAAAGGAGAUGGAAAUUCCAAACAAGAAAUUUAAGAUUUACCAAAGUUAGUCAUGGUCUACAAUCUUGGGGUAUAAGAGAGUUCUAGAAAAUGUAAAAGAGGAACCCAGCAGAGGUGAUGUUGAACACUGGGGCCAUUCUGUAAUUUCGUUCAAUUCCUUUUAAUGAGCUACUUGGCCUUGAAAUUUCAUUGAGACUAUUACACAGAAUUUUCACCAUUUUUCCCUCACAUUAAUCGUGUCAUUUCUCAAAAUUUGAGCUCUAAGAUUCUGCACCUUGAGUCGCUACUGAAUAUGGGCUUGUCCAUCCAGGCAGCAAGAACCUGAAGCUUGAGAAAUUCAAGGAAAUGCCAUCAGCCGAUGGGGGCCGGCCCCGUCUGUCCAGUGAGGGGAAGAAGUCUUCUGGACACUACUAGCCUGGCCUGCGAUAAGCAGUCUGAAAACAGCUCGUUUACCUUUGUUAUUGGUAUUCUAUUUUUCCUGGUUUUAUCACUGCAAUCUUAUUUUAAGUGGUUUUGCCCAACAAGACCACCUGGACUUGUUGGGCAAAAUGGACGCCAAUUUGACAUAAUUCAAGGACUUACUUUUUUGCCUCGCUUUUGGACUCAUCGACUUGGUCAGCAGUUCCUGAGCUGCCGUGUUCCACUUGUCUGACAUCAGGCUGAUUUUCACUGGGGGACUCUAUGUGUCUGGUCACUUCCGGCUCGGCUUUUAUUUCAUCUCCAGUUUCUCCUCCACUUAAGCUGUCAUCAACAGUCUACGAAAAUUAACAAGUAUCAAAUUAAGCAUCACUUCCCUACAGUGUGGGACUUUUUAGAUCCAUCUGCGUGGAGUCUAUAUUAACUGCAAAUUUUCCACCCCUCAUAGGACUGGCUUUACUGGACGUAUGAAAUCCUGGCCCGCUGGAGGUCGUGGAUAAGUACAACACAACAAAAGGCAUGGUCGACAAUGGUGCUAAGCUUAAAGAAUGCGUUCCCUGAAUAAGAGGAGAAAGGGUGGUUGGAAUUCCACCUCACGGAUGUCCCAACAGCAGCCUGAGGGGGAUGUGGACUUGUACUUUCCAAGCGCUUACAGUGCUCUGCACACAGUAAGCACAAGUGAACUGAAUGAAUACCUGAUGCCUAGGCCCCAGCCCCUGGUGAGCAGGUGUACGAUGACGCUGAUCCCUCCUCCAGGAUAGUAAGUCACCUUUGCUCUGCUCCCCUGGAACGCCUCCCUCCACGGGGCACGUUCAAGAGCUGGGCUGGGGAGGAGUGUGGUGGGUCACAGUGGAGAGGGCUGCCUUGGCUCAAGGGAGGGAGGGAUUGAGGGAGGGAUCAAUGAAAAAAACAAAAGCAGAAGGUAACAAAAGUUGCUAAGCAGCCCACCAGUGAAGUCAAAAUUCUACGUAGAAUUUCAACCAUAUUUUUCCCCUUGAUUCUUGAGUAAAAUGAGGUUAAACAAGCA